rnacentral:rRNA from 1 species
UGCCAGCAGCCGCGGUAAGACGAAGGUGGCAAGCGUUGUUCGGAAUCACUGGGCUUAAAGGGCACGCAGGCGGCUGAUCAAGUGUCUUGUGAAAUCCCUCGACUCAACCGAGGAAUUGCAGGGCAAACUGGUCGGCUUGAGGCAGGUAGGGGCAAGUGGAACUCUUGGUGGAGCGGUGGAAUGCGUAGAUAUCAAGAGGAACGCCAGUGGCGAAAGCGACUUGCUAGGCCUGUCCUGACGCUGAGGUGCGAAAGCCAGGGGAGCGAACGGGAUUAGAUACCCCGGUAGUCCUGGCCCUAAACGAUGUCCACUAGGUCGGAGGUUCUCUGACGGAGUUCCGGCCGAAACGAAAGCGUUAAGUGGACCGCCUGGGGAGUACGGUCGCAAGGCUAAAACUCAAAGGAAUUGACGGGGGCUCACACAAGCGGUGGAGCAUGUUGCUUAAUUCGAUGCAACGCGAAGAACCUUAUCCUGGGCUUGACAUGUUCGGAUGCCCUCCUGGAAACAGGUCGGGUUGCCCUUCGGGGUGAAACGUUCACAGGUGCUGCAUGGCUGUCGUCAGCUCGUGUCGUGAGAUGUUGGGUUAAGUCCCGUAACGAGCGAAACCCUUGUCGCUAGUUGCCAGCGCGUAAUGGCGGGGACUCUAGCGAGACUGCCGGUGUUAAACCGGAGGAAGGUGGGGAUGACGUCAAGUCCUCAUGGCCUUUAUGCCCAGGGCCGCAAACGUGCUACAAUGGCCGAUACAAACCGACGCAAGACCGCGAGGUGGAGCAAAUCGGAAAAAGUCGGCCCCAGUUCGGAUUGGAGUCUGCAACUCGACUCCAUGAAGUCGGGAUCGCU